rnacentral:SRP_RNA from 1 species
GCUGGGCAUGGUGGUGGGUGCCUGUAAUCCCAGCUACUCGGGAGGCUGAGGCAGGAGAAUCGCUUGAACCCAGGAGGCUGAGGUUGCAGUGAGCUGAGAUUAUGCCACUGCACUCUAGCCUGGGUGACAGAGUGAGACUCUAUCUCAA